rnacentral:snRNA from 1 species
GGGUGUGAAGGCAAUCUGGUGGUGACAUCUGUCACCCUGUGGAUCACCAUUCGGCUUAUCUGGCUGCCCAGACAGGUGUGUCUUUCCUCCCUCACCAUACCACGGGCAUCUCUCUUGAAGCUGAGCUCUCAGUUGAAGAGGAUGAUCAUGC